rnacentral:lncRNA from 1 species
AUGAUGGCAGUUGGAAUAACAGGGACUGGAAAGUUCAGAAGAAGCUUCGGAAAUAAAAUCAAGAGAAUGAAGUUUUUGUUAUUGUUUUUUAACGUGGGGAUGAGAAAAACUUUCUUUUGGUCUUCAGAUAAAGAAAAGACACUUCACAAAAUAUUUCUUAUGAAUGAUGGAGAAAAAACAGAAGCUUGGACACAGGGCCUGCUUUGUAUAAAGGAAUGCUUCACUUGGUAAUUUAUUUUUCUUAAAUUUCUCCUUAAUCCUGUUUCAAUAUGCUAAUCUCCCUUGUUUCUUCAUCAGGCCUGCUUUAGAAUUGUUU